rnacentral:lncRNA from 1 species
UACCUGCACCACAAUGUCCUUCUAAGAUAAUAUUCACUGGUUUUUCUGUGUACAUGUCUGUUUUCCCCAUUAGGUUGUGAGCUCUGAAGGCAGAAGUGGUUCAUCUUUGCUUCCCCGGGGACUAGCAUUGUGAAUGGUCCUCAACUCUUUAACUCAAUAUUUGAUGGAUGCAUGAUUCUAUAUAAUAUACUAUGGAAAAACUGAUGAUAGAGUCAUUCACUAUGCUGGUCACACUGAAUAAAACAUUUGAACCAUCAUGUUAACAAAGCAAACAGGCAUCUGUGACAUGUGAGAAGAUUUGAAGUUGCCCAGGACAGAGCCCCUACUUAGAAGAUAUCUCCCAGCAUCUCAGGUGAAUUAUACCAUUGGCAGAGAAACUAGAGUGAAGCCCACAGACGUGCCUGAUGGAACCAAGAUCGUGAAGAGUAGUCAAGAGCUCAAGUAUUACUUGUAUGAUAAAAGUAAAAAACAAAAGCAUACAGGUAAUCUGGUGAGCAGCUGA